GCCUGGCGUUAUGGGAGGGUUAUUCUUUUGCUGGCCUCUACCUAAACCCCUCCCAGUUUCCUCCUGAUGUUCUGCUGACAUUUUGGAACCUUACCCACCUCUCCCUGAUUUUACUCUUUCAAUAGGUCUGCCCUCUUUUUUCUGGCCUACAGCAUUUGUCGGUUUUGGCACACCACAACUAACUUGUGGUAUAGCUCAAACCUUUUU